UACGGGGGGGGCAAGCGUUGUUCGGAAUUACUGGGCGUAAAGGGCUCGUAGGUGGCCAACUAAGUCAUACGUGAAAUCCCCCGGCUUAACCGGGGAACUGCGUCUGAUACUGGAUGGCUUGAGUUCGGGAGAGGGAUGCGGAAUUCCAGGUGUAGCGGUGAAAUGCGUAGAUAUCCGGAGGAACACCAAAGGCGAAGGCAGUGUCCUGGGGAGUACCUGACGCUCAGGUGCGAAAGCCAGGGGAGCGAACGGG
rnacentral:rRNA from 1 species